GGGGAUUUAGCUCAGUGGUGGAGCGCUUGCCUAGCAAGCGCAAGGCCCUGGGUUCGGUCCCCAGCUCCA
rfam:Rattus norvegicus chromosome 20, whole genome shotgun sequence.